rnacentral:rRNA from 1 species
CCUACGGGAGGCAGCAGUGGGGAAUUUUGCGCAAUGCUCGUAAGAGUGACGCAGCGACGCCGCGUGAAUGACGAAGGCCUUCGGGUCGUAAAGUUCUUUCGACAGGGAAGAAAAUGCAUAUAAGUAACUGUGUAUGUAUUGACGGUACAUGUAUAAGCAGCCCCGGCUAACUCCGUGCCAGCAGCCGCGGUAAACGGAGGGGGGGGGCGUUGUUCGGAGUGAAUGGGGGUAAAGAGCAAGUAGGCGGUGUUGUAAGUCAUUAGUCAAAGACUAGAGCUCAACUUUAGUAAGGCUAGUGAUAGUAUAAUACGAGAGUAUCAGAGAGGAUUGCAGAAUUCCUGGUGUAGCGGUGAAAUGCGUAGAUAUCAGGAGGAAUACCGUUAGCGAAGGCGGCAAUCUGGCUGGAAACUGACGCUGAGGUGCGAAAGCGUGGGUAGCAAACAGGAUUAGAUACCCCGGUAGUC